AGUGAACGCUGGCGGUAGGCCUAACACAUGCAAGUCGAACGGCAGCACAGUAAUAGCUUGCUCUUACGGGUGGCGAGUGGCGGACGGGUGAGGAAUACAUCGGAAUCUACUUUUUCGUGGGGGAUAACGUAGGGAAACUUACGCUAAUACCGCAGACGACCUACGGGUGAAAGCAGGGGAUCUUCCGACCUUGCGCGAGUGAAUGAGCCGAUGUCGGAUUAGCUAGUUGGCGGGGUAAAGGCCCACCAAGGCGACGAUCCGUAGCUGGUCUGAGAGGAUGAUCAGCCACACUGGAACUGAGACACGGUCCAGACUCCUACGGGAGGCAGCAGUGGGGAAUAUUGGACAAUGGGCGCAAGCCUGAUCCAGCCAUACCGCGUGUGUGAAGAAGGCCUUCGGGUUGUAAAGCCCUUUUGUUGGGAAAGAAAAGCAGCAGGUUAAUACCCCGCUGUUCUGACGGUACCCACAGAAUAAGCACCGGCUAACUUCGUG
rnacentral:rRNA from 1 species